rnacentral:tRNA from 1 species
GGGCCCGUAGCUCAACGGUUAGAGCCGGCCGCUCAUAACGGUCUGGUUGCAGGUUCGAGUCCUGCCGGGCCCA